GGAAGCAACCCCUGCGCCUUUCAGAUUUCCCACGAUUGCUCUCUUCUCCUUUCCAUCGUCGCUUCCCCGUUGCCUCCACCUUCCUCCGCCCAUGCUUCGUCUUAUCCGGCACCUUACCCACCAUUGGCGACGUCCUCUUCUUCUUCGUGCUAGGGCACAGAACGCCCCUUUUGCCUCUUAUCGCUCCUUCUUGUAGUAAUCCUGUUUGCCCUAUUUUCUAGGAACUACCUCCUCCUCCUCUUCCUUCUCGUGUUCUCGUUUUCACAUUCAGCUCAUAUUUAAAAAAAUUCUGGCACCGCUAGAUCUUAUCUAAAUACUGCAGAGCAGAGGCGAGUUUGCACUCCCCAGCCUCCAUCGUGUUGUUCUACUAAUUUCCCUCACAUUAUGCAGUUAUUCGUUUCUAAUUCUUCGUCGGUCGCUCUGCUCGUUUUCCUGUGGACUCUGAAAUCUCCCAUUUGUCUUUGUUUUGGGUUGGGUUCAGAUUAGUGAGUCUCCAUAGUAAGGAAAAGCAGAAUAGGAAAAAUGGGAAGUGUCUUCGUGCAAGAGUUGGAGGGCAGGUCUUACAGAUGCAAGUUCUGCAAAACCCAUUUGGCCCAAGCCGAUGAUCUCAUCUCUUGGAUGUUAUUCCUUUUCUAUCGGAUACACAUGUUUUUGAGAGAGCAAUAUUGAUACAUAUGUUUUUGCUUCAUUCUCAAUGUUCAAGAUGUUUUUCCUAGGGCUAAUUUCUCUCAAUAUUGAGAGAGCAAUAUUGAUUCAGUUGUUUUUGGGAGAGCAAUAUUGAACGAUUCUUUAUUCUCAAAGUUCAAGAAGUUUUUUGCUCGUUCCUUUUAUUUAACUAUGAGUUUUCCCUCCAAGAAAAGGAAUUGACGAAUGAGUUUUCACUUCUAGAGUGAAUAUGAAGUCUCCUACUGUGGAGGUAACCUAUUUGAGAUUUUAUUUUUAAAAUAAGCUUGUUUUUAUUAAUAAAAAUAUGUAUAUCCUUUUCUUUCUUUCCCCCUUCUUUCUCUUUUUGGGUGGAUGUAAUGGCAAGUACAAAGCUUGAAAGUAAACACCAAAAUGACAGAGCACCAAGAACUCUUCUCUGUCCUUCCUUUUAAGCAUGACAAGCAAGCAAAAAUGCUCCACCUGCACACGUACGUGAGUGCCAGACUACUUAGUUGACAAAACAACGUACAGGCUAGGGAAAUGGUCAGGCUUGCCAGGGAUGCAAUGGGAAAUAAUAUUCAAGCUUGGUGUUGCUUCUUGGUGAUUUGCGCUCACUUUUUGUUAUUCUCAGGCUAUUUCUGUGGUUAAUUUGCGAAGCUCUUAAUGGGAAAAUUGAUCAGACCUAGUUAAUGCUGUCAAUGUUAGCUUGCUUAGUUUCAAUUGUUCAUUGUGCUUGUUGUUGCUAUAUUUGGAAAAAUUCUCUUUUCUGCUAUUCACACUGUUUUUUAUCAUUGAACAUCGAUUGCUUGAUUUGUGAACAUACAAGAGUUGGAUUGGAGAUAAUUUAAAUAUGUCGUUGUUUGAA